AUUACUGCGUUGAGCCCGCCUCUCCGACGCUUUUUCAUUCGAUAGUUGCCUUUCAUGGGCGGAGAACACCACCUUAAUUUGACAGAGUAUUGGCCUGAGGUGAUGCCAGUAUUCGUCACAGUUCCCCAGGCUGGCCAGGAUGCGGAGGCAGGGCGAAUGGGCAGGGCAGGGGGGCUCCUCUAGUGCAAAGUGAGCUCAACUUCUGUGAGGUGGUGAUGUGCAUUAUAUGUUAACCUCCACCUAAACUUUAGCAUUUCACUUUCAUUGUCUUGGAUGGAGAUAAAUUAAACUGAGCCUUCAGAUUUGAGUGAAGGCUGAUCCCUGCGGCUGCGACCCUUUUAAUUUCCCUCUGAAAGAGGACUUGGAAGCUGCGGCUAACCUGUUUUUGGGGAAGCCACAUUGGGCCGGUGUCGUGGGAGAUUCCUCAGCGCUGGAUGAAGACCUGUCCUGCACCCAAUCAAUGACAAUCCUUAAUAGGCCAACUGUACGUCGCUUGCUUAUCUGGUAUGUAGACCUAUACGCACCAUGAAUGCAGCUUUAGCAUAUGGACAACUGCUGUUAUAGGUCGGUCUUAUUUAUAGACACUACCCCGAUGUUGCCUUGGCCAUCCCAUAAUGCCCUCUACUGUCAACACGUCAGGUGCUUUAUUCGUUUGGUAGCAUUUUAUCAGUGGCCUAUUGUAUUGUCAUCAUAACUUAUUUUUAUCUCAAUGUACAGUUUGUUUUUAAAAUCAUAACUAACCUUUGUGUUUCGUUGCAGUCUUAUUGUCUCUGGUGUAAAUCCUUCUUAUAAAAGUGACCUGUUUUCCAUCAAUCAUAAUAUUUGACAUGCCAAUACUCCACCCUCAUCAGCCAUAAACAUUCAGAAUAUUAUUAUCAAACACAAACAUACACACACACCCUAAACUUAAUACGAUCACAACAUUAAUAUGAAUGUUUGUGAGCGUUAUUAACACGCUUUUUAGGCAACUCAUUUAUGUGGACUUUCAGAACGCCAGAAACUGGUUUUGAUUGAUGUUCCAUUGAAUGGAGUCAUAACUGGUAUGUUGUACAUAACCUACCAGAGAGCUGAGGGCUGUCCUCAGUGAAAUAAUUGAUUGUGUGGGAUUGGGUGUAAUAACAUUUAACACCCUUUGUGUUAGCUAUGCCAUUGAGCCAUUAAUAUUUCAUCUCUUUCUUGCUAAAACUACAGUUUUUCUAACUGGUUUCGUCAGUUGAUUUCUCUUGUAUACUAGUAUAAUGUCACAUGACCAGAUAUGGGGGCUCCUAUUGGUAUAGCAGCACUCAUGUUAAGGCAUCAGGAAAGUCAGACAUAGGCUGAUAGGUUGUCCAGGCUGUCAGAGAUUUGUGGCUUAUCCAACGUCAUGCCAAGCCACACACGUCUGGCUGUGAUCUGCCUAGUCCAUUUACACUACCAAAUCUGCCCAUUAAACCUGUAAGUCUGACUGUCUGCCUUCAAGGCACCACUAAAUAAAUACAAUUGACUUUGUCUAAGCUAUUUAUUAUUUUCGUUUUUUUAAGCCAUGGGUCACGUAACAGAAUGAAAUGGCCAUCAAGUGGAGGAAGGCAUUUCAGAGUGUAAGACAGGAGCCAAGUGUCUGGUCUAAGAUUAUUUAUACAACUGCUGUGUGCGUGUUUGUGUCUGUGUGAGUUUGUGUGAGAGAGCUAGAGUGCGAUAGUACACGUCUGUCAGCUGGUCUGUUUGUUUACCCAAACAGGCCGAGGGUGACAGGGAAAUGUUUAGCAGAGGAAGUUCAGAGUUGCGUGAUUGUGUUUAAAAACAGCCAGUGUUUAGAUAUCCUAUUUCAGCAGACAACAUAUUUGCUGUUCCUAGAAAAAUAAAAGCAGAAGAAAGUUAUUAUCAUCUUGAGGAAAGGAUAAAUCUUCUGGGGCAUAAUGUGCUUUGUGCAAGAAUGCUUAACAGCCAACGCCCCUGUGUAAAAUACAUGUCAUUUUAAUAACUUAAGGUGAUGUAGGUUAGCGUCAACAUCUACUAUUUCAGGGUUAAUUGUUGGAAAUGGCAAAGCCAUCCGUCAGCUUUAAGUGAGAGAAAUGGUCUAUGAGAAUAUUUCGUUUUAGCUUGCCUCUGUUAGAGCCCAUUUAGACCGCCCCCGGCUCAUUUCUGACCAAUCAGGGUAUUGCUUUCAUGAUUGGAUCCCGGAAUCCAUCUGGCCUGUCAAUCACAGGUUCGUGAAUGUAAAACAGGGAUCAGAAAAUGUUGGGGUUGUUUAGUUUCUAAAUCAUGCUUUCAUCCGCUCGUUUCAGCUUUCUCUCCUAGCACCUUUAAGCCAAAGUACUACUUUAAAGUCGAAGUGUGUAGGAUGUGGUGGCCUCUAGUGAUGAGGUAGCAGAUUGCAACCAACUCAAUACCCCCUCUCCCCUCCCUUUCCAACGAUGUAGGAGAGGUGAUGGUGGCCUGGAGAGGCGAUGGUGUAGGGGCUACUAUUGUCCAAGGGGCCAGUUGGUACAUUGUUUACUAUAGCAUAAGGAGCCAUGUGUCAAGUGAUGAUGUUCCUUGAUAGAUUGCUAAAUUGUCUAUAGUUAUUUAGUCUGUCAAACUAUAGGUCAUAGCUUACAAGAAAGAUUUUGAUUAUGAUUGUGAAGCGUAAAAUUAAUUCCUUGAUUGCCCUAGGCCUCAUUGUUAUGACAAAAUGUUCAUAGGUGCGUGUCUUAAGGCAUAGAUAGUAUAGUAGUUCUGAUCCAGCAGUCCGACUGUGUUAUAGCAGAACUUCUGAUCCAGCACAGUCCUACUAUGUUAUAGCAGAACUUCUGAUCCAGCAGUCCUAUACUAUGUUAUAGUAGUCCUUCUCAUAUAGCAGAACUUCUGGGGGGAGACGCAUCAUCAAUCAUUUCACACACUAAUAGCUACGGACAGCUAUGACAUUUCUAUAACCAGUCACUCAUAAAUAGCUCUGAAAUCAUACCUACAGCACCUUUGAGGAAAAGAUAAGUGUAGAAGAUAAGACAAGGCAUGAAGAUAAUCUCUAAUAGGGCAGAUGUAGAGAAGACGAUACAUAAUGAUGCAGAUACUGUGAUAAAAUAAGUCCUGCAUCUCAGGCACUUCCAUCUGUUGAAAGUGUUUUGUUCCCUGAGGUUCCUCUUGGUUCCUGAGGAACGCUUUGGCUGAGCCCGCGGCAAAGCAGAUAGAGAACUGCAAGAAGGGACUUUCCAGCGAAGAAUCACAGCGAGGAAUGCAGGUCUUAAAGUCCCGUACAACAAACCCUCGGAUAUAGGGAAAAGUGGGGCUUUACGAAUAUACCGUAUAGGACUUCUCUGACAACGCACUCUCUUGGUCUGCUUGUUCUCCGCCCCUCUGGUGCGGUCAGCCAGUGGGCGAAGCCGAGAUGGUCAGCUGACAUGGUGCAACUGUGCAGGUGUUGUCUAUGUUUUAUACGGUGUUCAUACGUUUUUAUAAGGUGUUUCUUUAUAGGUCCAUGGGUGUUCCACAUCAGCCAUUUGGUCAGAAAAUGACGUGUUUUCAGAUUAUUCAUGUUUAUCGAUCACCUUCACGCUGAUUUAACGGGUGUUUUCUCCCUCCUGGCUACGUAGUGUGAGAGUGUUGUGACCAAUGACCUCACAUAAGCCAGGCCACUCCCUUUACCUUGUAAAACAUGCAGACCACACCUGCACAGGUACAGUGGCUAUCGAUGAACUCAAGUACUAACACACAAAACAACUCAGUAUUUACAAGACUGAGUUUAUUAGAUGACUUUGGGAUGUAAAUUGUUACAUUUUCCUGACCAAAUAUCGGGUAGGUCUGUAGUGGAUACAUCCCUCUGUGAUAGUGAUGAUUAUUUUAAUUAUUUCGUUUUUAUAUCCUGAGGAUGUGUCCGUCUAGCGCCCCCUGCAGUCACAACCGCGUAACAAUAAUCAAUAAAAAAAUACAAACUUUAUCAGGAACACAAUGACGUUUUUUUUUUUAUUAUACUUAAAUACACAGAUAAAGUAAUAAUUGCUGUAGGUUAAAGUUGUCCUAAAUUAUUUGAACAUUUCAUACAUGUAUUUUUCAGUGUGCACUGUAGCAAAUUACUGUAUAUAUAUAUUUGUAUCAUGUAUAUAUAAUUGCAUACAUAUAUAUAUAUAUAUAUAAUAUACAGUAUGUUUACGAUGGUAGUAAAGGUAACAAGGUCAUCGUACAACAGUAAGACGGUAAGGGGUUUAAAUGAGUCGAUGGAGCAUUGAACGUGAAGAUCUGGGGGUCCAUGGCUUAUCUCCAUGACUGCUCCCUGGAUACCAGGACUGCAACACACACACAGAUAAGUGGACAUGAUGAAGAUGGUGGUGGUGGUGGUGGGGAUCGCUUGUCAGGUUAGACACUUUGGGUUACUGACGCAGCACGGGAGCUGGUCUAGGAAGUACACCGUGGAGGACUGUACCCGGUACAGUGUCUACAAUGUGAUUUGUCAAUUGAUCGUGUGUGAAUUUGUGUGUUAGAACAUUAUUAACAAUUACAGCUGAAUACAGCUAUUAACAGCUGAAAUGAUGAUACGAAUGAUCCCACAGAAAAGAAACAACAAAGCCAACACGGACACACACACACAAACUUUGAUCUGUCAUUAGUAUAGAGGAUAAAAAUGGUGCAAGAAUGGAUAAUAAAGUCUACGAAUGAUAGUAAGCGCACACAAUUGACAAUGUGCAUGGCCACAUGGGUUCAUCAUUAGAAUUCAACGAUGAGUGAUGUUUCAAAUUGAAUUUAAAAGCCUAUGACAGGUCAAAGAUGUGGUGUGAGUGCGCAUCAUACAAUAUACUGGAUCAAUAUACUGGAUCCAUAUCAGAGGGAAUUUACCUGUUUGAUAUUGAAGCCUAAGUCAGUCAUUGAAAUGCAUGUUGUGAUAUCAGGAUGUAUGUCCAUAUAAGGAUGCAUGUCUGUAUAUAUCAGACCAACUGUGCAUUUAAAAAAAUAAAAUACAUUCCCUUGAAUAUAGACAUGCCUCAUAUUUUCAUGUCUUGUUUAUGUCCAUGAUAUUUCACACAUUUUUCACGUGGCCUUUUUUCAAUCAGACACGAGUUUGCGUUUCAAUGACAAGAAUUGACACAGUAUAAUAGUAAUGGUCCAGUGUAAUAUCAAACGAUCAUCAUGAUAUCAAAGAAUUGCCAAAAGCAACAGCCAGGAGAACAGAAAAAGAACCAAACAAGGUGAAGGAAAAGCAGUCAGCGCACCACGGCCGCCUCAGAACACAGCCAGCGCAGCCCCUUUUAAAGACGCAGCGCCGCAGAGAUAGAGCAGUGACUACCAGGGCCACAGAGAGAGAGCAGUCACUACCAUAGACCGGUCCCUUCCAGGGGCCAGACAGGAGCUGGGAGCGGUUUCUGAUGGUUCAGAACUGGGAGCAUGGGUAAUGGCUCAGGGUUCUGAAGAGGGCCAUGGUGUCACAAAGGAACAGUGUCAUUCAGUUUGCAACGCCCAUUGGGAAAACUGGGCUUUGGUUGCUCUUUGGAAUUGUAACAGGGACAUAGAAUAAUAAUAAACUACAAACAAUAUCCAUACUUCAAAAGGUAAACUGAAAAACAAUUGGUCCCAUUCCUCUUUGCGUCACAGUAUCAAAAUGUCGGAAUGGCUAACAGUCUUUCUCCAGUGCUAACUAUUACUGUGUUAGUCUCUCUCCAGUGCUAUUACUCUUUGUUUAGGUCUCUCUCCAGUGCUAUUAUUCAGUCUUACAGUCUCUCUCCAUUGCCAACUAUUACUGUGUUACAGUCUCUCCCCAGUGCUAACUAUUACUCUGCGUUACAGUCUCGCUCCAGUGCUAACUGUUGCUGUGUUACAUUCUCUCUCCAGUGCUAAUUAUUACUCUGGGGUACAGUCUCUCUCCAGAGCUAUUACUCUGUGUUUAGGUCUCCCUCCAGUGCUAUUAAUCUGUGUUUAGGUUUCUCCAAGAGCUAACUAUUACUAUGUGUUACAGUCUCUCUCCAGUGCCAAGUAUAACCUAACGUGUUACAUGGGGUUCAUACAGUUAAGACCAGCCCUUACAUUAUAUUGUGGAAGGUAUUUUAGCUCUGCAUCCAUGGGUGGAAUGAGAGGGUCAAGUGCAUGGAGGGAAUGUAGAAAUUAAUUUGGCUUGGUUUAGUAUGGUACAAUUUCAGUGGGGGGGUGUCACUCCAUUGAUGUAGAAACACAAAAAUGGGUUAGACAUUUAUGUUUACCCAAUCAUCAUCCACCUCAGAUUUAAACAAGCCAAUCAUGAGCCGGUCGCUACUCGCUACCUACUUACCAGUUACUGUCCUACUUGGAGGAAGAGUGUGUGUGUGUGUGUGUGUGUGUGUGUGUGUGUGUGUGUGUGUGUGUGUGUGUGUGUGUGUGUGUGUGUGUGUGUGUGUGUGUGUGUGUGUGUGUGUGUGUGU